CUAUCACUCUGGGAUGGACCUGCGGUGCAUUAGCUAGUUGGUAAGGUAACGGCUUACCAAGGCAAUGAUGCAUAGCCGAGUUGAGAGACUGAUCGGCCACAAUGGAACUGAGACACGGUCCAUACUCCUACGGGAGGCAGCAGUAGGGAAUCUUCCACAAUGGGCGCAAGCCUGAUGGAGCAACACCGCGUGAGUGAAGAAGGGUUUCGGCUCGUAAAGCUCUGUUGUUGGAGAAGAACGUGCGUGAGAGUAACUGUUCACGCAGUGACGGUAUCCAACCAGAAAGUCACGGCUAACUACGUGCCAGCAGCCGCGGUAAUACGUAGGUGGCAAGCGUUAUCCGGAUUUAUUGGGCGUAAAGCGAGCGCAGGCGGUUGCUUAGGUCUGAUGUGAAAGCCUUCGGCUUAACCGAAGAAGUGCAUCGGAAACCGGGCGACUUGAGUGCAGAAGAGGACAGUGGAACUCCAUGUGUAGCGGUGGAAUGCGUAGAUAUAUGGAAGAACACCAGUGGCGAAGGCGGCUGUCUGGUCUGCAACUGACGCUGAGGCUCGAAAGCAUGGGUAGCGAACAGGAUUAGAUACCCUGGUAGUCCAUGCCGUAAACGAUGAGUGCUAGGUGUUGGAGGGUUUCCGCCCUUCAGUGCCGGAGCUAACGCAUUAAGCACUCCGCCUGGGGAGUACGACCGCAAGGUUGAAACUCAAAGGAAUUGACGGGGGCCCGCACAAGCGGUGGAGCAUGUGGUUUAAUUCGAAGCAACGCGAAGAACCUUAGCAGGGCUUGACAUCCCACGGACAGAUGUGGAGAUACAUCCUUCCCUUCGGGGAUUGUGGUGACAGGUGGUGCGUGGUUGUGGUCAGCUCGUGUCGUGAGAUGUUGGGUUAAGUCCCGCAACGAGCGCAACCCUUAUUGUUAGUUGCCAUCAUUAAGUUGGGCACUCUAAUGAGACUGCCGGUGACAAACCGGAGGAAGGUGGGGAUGACGUCAAGUCAUCAUGCCCCUUAUGACCUGGGCUACACACGUGCUACAAUGGACGGUCCAACGAGAAGCGAACCUGCGAAGGCAAGCGGAUCUCUUAAAGCUGUUCUCAGUUCGGACUGUAGGCUGCAACUCGCCUACACGAAGCUGGAAUCGCUAGUAAUCGCGGAUCAGCACGCCGCGGUGAACAAAAGCCCGGCCCUUGUACACACCGCCCGUCA
rnacentral:rRNA from 1 species